GCGACCGUAGUCUAGUGGUUCCUUCGGGCACGACAGGAUCUCGGCUUCCCAAGCCGGUGACCCGGGUUCAAAUCCCGGCGGUCGCA
rnacentral:tRNA from 1 species